rnacentral:lncRNA from 1 species
GGUCGGAAACCGAACUAGGAGAUGAUACGUCGAAACUAUCACCCUGAGGGCAUUUAGUCCGGGUCUUCCGAGUAUGGCAUUGUAGGCCGACGGCACUUGGACGACCGCAAAGGUCAAGUGGACUGUGCUCUAUCGUGGUUCGGUUCCAACCAUCACGGGCAAAGUAACUUCGCCUUCCACCGUGACAGCAUCUCCAGCAAAGCCUAUCAGGGGCGUAGAGACUCUCUUGAGUCGGUCGAUCGACAGUCACAUCCGGGAGAAGGUCGAGUAAAACAAAAUAUUCGUUGAACUUUCAUUAUCUACAAAGAUUUUUUUUACAUCAUAAUUUGCUAUUAUUGCCGAGACAACAAUAGCGUCGUCAUG